rnacentral:rRNA from 1 species
AACGUAGGAGGCAAGCGUUAUCCGGAGUUACUGGGCGUAAAGCGCGUGUAGGUGGAUCGGUAAGUUACUUAUAAAAGCCCCUGGCUAAACUAGGGGAGGUUGAGUGAUACUGCCAGUCUUGAAUAGAGGAGAGGUUGACGGAAUUCCAGGUGUAGCGGUGAAAUGCGUAGAUAUCUGGAGGAACACCGGUGGCGAAGGCGGCAUCCUGGACCAACACUGACGCUGAGGAGCGUAAGCCAGGGGAGCAAACGGG